rnacentral:rRNA from 1 species
UGGGGAAUAUUGCACAAUGGGCGCAAGCCUGAUGCAGCAACGCCGCGUGAACGAUGAAGGUCUUCGGAUCGUAAAGUUCUGUUGCAGGGGAAGAUAAUGACGGUACCCUGUGAGGAAGCCCCGGCUAACUACGUGCCAGCAGCCGCGGUAAUACGUAGGGGGCUAGCGUUAUCCGGAUUUACUGGGCGUAAAGGGUGCGUAGGUGGUCCUUCAAGUCGGUGGUUAAAGGCUACGGCUCAACCGUAGUAAGCCGCCGAAACUGGAGGACUUGAGUGCAGGAGAGGAAAGUAGAAUUCCCAGUGUAGCGGUGAAAUGCGUAGAUAUUGGGAGGAACACCAGUAGCGAAGGCGGCUUUCUGGACUGCAACUGACACUGAGGCACGAAAGCGUGGGUAGCAAACAGG